UGAAAAUUAGCGGUAUUUUUAGUUGAUUUUUUAUUUUUAGCUGAAGAAGUUGUGAAAAUUGUGAAAUGUUAAGAAAAAUUAAAAAAAAUCCAAUUAAAAGAUAAAAAUUUAAAGAAAAAAUGUUUAAAAGUGUUAACAAAUAGUUAUAGUAAUAAAAAAUCAUAAAAAUAUGUUUGAAGAAUGUAUAAAUAUACGGAAAUAUAGAAAUUACUUUUGAGCCGGCAACAAAGUUGAAGGCUAAACUAUCGGGCUUUUUGUUUUCAGAACCUUUUGGGAUGCUUUGAAGGAUGGUCUCGAAAGUAAUGUCUAAGAAACAGUUGGAUAUACUCUAUAUAGUAGUAGUAUUUUUAGUACUUUUUUUUAAAUAACUAAAAUUAAAAUGAUUUUUAUUAAAAUAGUGUAAAAACUGUGUUAAAAUUAUGUAAAAAUUCCCAAAAAUU